AAAAAGAAAUACCACGAUAUGUUAUUUGAUAUUAGAAGAAUGACAAUGAACGGCGCACUAUGGAUUAUUAGUGUUGCCCUCCUCAUAAGGAGUGGUUACUCUGAUUAUUGUACGACACCUUACCCUUGUCAAACCACAUGCCUGACAUCGGAGACUUUAUACACAGGAUGCGGUCUGUUUUGGUGGGGCAGAUGCCCAAAAUAUCGAAAUGUUUACAAACAAUGUACAAAAACAUGCUAUAGAAGCGAAUGUUGUGACGGUUAUUCUGGAAGAAGCUGUAGCAUAC